AUGGCACGGGUAAGGAGGAGGCUGGAGAAGCUGAAGCUGAGUACAUUGUACAGCUUCGCGCUCUGCGCCAAGGGCUCCACCGAAGAUCACUCCAAGAUCGGCACGACGGGGUUCUCCCGAGUCGUCUACGUCAAUGAUCCAGACAGGCAUGAAGAGGAGGGCUUCAGAUACCCAAGAAAUGAGGUGUCCACUACCAAGUACUCGUUGGUCACCUUCGUGCCCAAGUCCCUCUUUGAGCAGUUCCGGAGGGUGGCCAACUUCUACUUCCUCGUCUCGGGGAUCCUCACGCUGACCCCGCUCGCGCCCUACUCAGCGGUAAGCGCGCUACUGCCAUUGUCGGUCGUGAUUACGGCCACCAUGCUGAAAGAAGGGGUUGAGGAUUGGAGGAGGAAACAACAGGACAUUGAGCUCAACAAUCGAAUAGUAAAAGUACAUAGAGGGAAUGGCAGUUUUGAAGAGACAAAAUGGAAGUAUAUCAAAAUUGGAGAUGUGAUAAAGGUGGAGAAGGAUAAUUUCUUUCCUGCUGACUUGAUUCUACUUUCAUCUAACUAUCCGGAUGGGAUCUGCUAUGUAGAGACUAUGAACCUUGAUGGUGAAACAAAUUUGAAAAUUAAACAAGCUCUUGAGGUGACAUCGGAUUUACAAGAGGAUGGUGAUUUCACAAACCUUAGACAAAUAGUCAAAUGCGAAGAUCCGAAUGCGAAUCUUUAUUCUUUUGUUGGUACUAUGGAUUAUAAAGGCAUGCAGCAUCCUCUGUCACCCCAACAACUCCUUCUUCGGGACUCAAAGCUGCGGAACACUGAUUACAUAUAUGGGGCUGUCAUCUUCACAGGUCAUGAUACAAAAGUGAUGCAAAAUGCAACUGAGCCGCCAUCUAAAAGAAGCAAGAUUGAGAAGAAAAUGGAUAACAUCAUUUACCUGCUGCUGUGUUCUUUACUUGGAAUUGCUUUACUUGGUUCAGUCUUUUUUGGUAUAUGGACAAAAGCUGAUUUAAGGAAUGGUGAGACAAAACGGUGGUAUCUUCGCCCAGAUGAUUCGACCGUCUUCUAUGACCCGAAACGAGCACCUCUGGCAUCCUUUUGUCAUCUGUUGACAGCCUUAAUGUUGUACAACUACUUUAUCCCAAUUUCUUUGUACAUAUCCAUUGAGAUGGUCAAGAUCUUACAGGCUGUAUUCAUCAACCAGGACAUUGACAUGUAUGAUGAAGAAUCAGAUAAGCCAACUCAUGCUCGAACCUCAAAUCUAAACGAAGAACUAGGUCAAGUUGACACAAUUCUCUCUGAUAAGACUGGAACCUUGACCUGCAACAUGAUGGAGUUUAUCAAGUGUUCAAUUGCUGGCACUGCAUAUGGUCAGUCUGUCACAGAAGUUGAGAAAGCUAUGGCCCUGAGGAAAGGGGUGCCGCUAGGUGACGAGAUAGAAGCUGGAGGGCACAAGGAGAAACAAAUCGAGGAGAGUCCUCAUGUCAAAGGUUUUAAUUUGAAGGAUCCACGUAUAAUGGAUGGAAAUUGGAUACAUGAACCUAAUAAAGAUGUCAUCAGGGAUUUUUUCCGUCUGCUAGCCAUCUGCCAUACAUGCAUACCUGAAGUAGAUGAAACUGAUAAAGUUUCAUACGAAGCUGAGUCCCCUGAUGAAGCUGCAUUUGUUAUCGCAGCAAGAGAAUUAGGGUUUGAGUUUUACAAGAGGACACAGACAAGUAUAUUUAUUCGUGAACGCGAUCCUAGCCAGAAUGUUGCAGAUUAUCAGUAUAGAAAAUAUGAGCUCCUAAAUGUCUUGGAAUUCAGUAGCUCACGAAGACGGAUGUCUGUAAUAGUGAAGGAACCAGAGCCAGAGGGGAGGAUAUUACUGUUUAGCAAGGGCGCUGAUAGUGUGAUGUUCACAAGGCUUGCACCAGAUGGAAGAAAAUUUGAGGAAGAGACUAAAAGGCACAUAAAUGAGUAUUCUGAUUCUGGUCUACGAACGUUGGUACUUGCAUACCGCGUCUUGGAUGAGAAAGAGUACGAGAACUUCGCUGAAAAAUUCAGGACUGCCAAAAUAUCUGGAAGUGCUGACAGAGAUGAACAAAUUGGGGAGGCUGCUGAUAGCAUUGAGCGGGACUUGAUUCUUCUUGGUGCUACUGCUGUUGAAGACAAGCUCCAGAAAGGGGUACCAGAAUGCAUUGACAAGCUUGCACAAGCAGGAAUUAAGAUAUGGGUGUUGACGGGUGACAAAAUGGAGACAGCUAUCAAUAUUGGCUUUGCAUGUAGCCUACUUAGACAAGGAAUGACACAGAUAAUCAUCGCCCUGGAAGCACCUGACAUCAUUGCAUUGGAGAAAAACGGAGACAAAGAUUCCAUUGCCAAGGCAUCAAAGCAAAGUGUUAUGGGUCAGAUAGAGGAUGGAAUAAAACAAGUCCCAACCUUGGGUCAGUCCAGCACGGAAUCUUUUGCGCUGAUAAUUGAUGGUAAAUCAUUAACUUAUGCUUUGGAAGAUGAUGUCAAGUUUAAGUUCUUGGAUCUUGCUGUCAAGUGCGCAUCAGUCAUAUGUUGUCGAUCUUCACCGAAGCAGAAGGCAUUGGUUACAAGGCUUGUUAAACAUUCAGAUAAAGUUACCUUAGCAAUUGGUGAUGGGGCAAAUGAUGUUGGCAUGCUUCAGGAAGCUGACAUAGGGGUUGGAAUUAGUGGUGUUGAAGGGAUGCAGGCUGUCAUGGCAAGUGAUAUUGCCAUCGCCCAGUUCCGCUUCCUGGAGCGGUUGCUUUUGGUGCAUGGACAUUGGUGUUACCGACGUAUUUCAGUGAUGAUAUGCUAUUUCUUCUACAAGAAUGUGACUUUUGGAGUCACCAUCUUUCUGUAUGAAGCGUUUGCAUCCUUUUCAGGGAAGCCAGCUUAUAAUGAUUGGUUCUUGUCACUGUAUAAUGUAUUUUUCACCUCCCUACCUGUCAUUGCGUUGGGCGUAUUUGAUCAGGAUGUUUCUUCCCGUCUGUGUUUACAGUAUCCGGAGCUAUACCAAGAAGGUGUGCAGAAUGUAUUAUUCAGCUGGCGUCGGAUACUUGGCUGGAUGUUUAACGGUGUCGUGAAUGCCAUCUUAAUAUUUUUCUUCUGCACUACCGCCCUGAAGGACCAAGCAUUUCGCCAGGAUGGCCAAGUUGCGGGCUUGGAUGCCCUAGGUGCUACCAUGUACACUUGUGUCGUAUGGGUCGUCAACUGCCAAAUGGCCCUCUCGGUGAACUACUUCACCAUAAUCCAACACAUAUUCAUAUGGGGUAGCAUUGCUGUGUGGUACAUCUUCCUCAUGGUUUAUGGUUCUAUAGACCCGAAGUACUCCAAAACAGCAUACAUGGUCUUCAUUGAACAGUUGGCCCCAGCGCUAUCAUAUUGGUUGGUGACACUUUUCGUGGUGACGGCCACACUCGUCCCAUACUUCUGCUAUGCCGCAGUUCAGAUCCGUUUCUUUCCAAUGUUCCAUAACAAGAUUCAGUGGAAAAGGUACUUGGGGAAGGCCGAAGACCCAGAGGUGGCAAGGCAGCUAUCGUCACGGCACCGGACAUCGUCGCACCCAAGGAUGGUUGGGAUCUCUGCUCGUCGCGACGGCAAGGCCAUGCAAGUUAAAAAGGGAACCGACAUAGAGGUUGAAGGAUGA
rnacentral:rRNA from 1 species